rnacentral:rRNA from 1 species
UACGGAAGGCAGCAGUGGGGAAUAUUGCACAAUGGGCGAAAGCCUGAUGCAGCUAUGCCGCGUGUAUGAAGAAGGCCUUAGGGUUGUAAAGUACUUUCAUCGGGGAGGAAAAAACAAAACUAAUAAUUUUAUUUCUUGACGUUACCCGAAAAAGAAGCACCGGCUAACUCCGUGCCAGCAGCCGCGGUAAUACGGAGGGUGCUAGCGUUAAUCAGAAUUACUGGGCGUAAAGAGCACGUAGGUGGUUAAUUAAGUUGGAUGUGAAAUCCCCGGGCUUAACCUGGGAAUGGCAUUCAAGACUGGUUAGCUAGAGUCUUGUAGAGGGGGUUAGAAUUCCAUGUGUAGCGGUGAAAUGCGUAGAGAUGUGGAGGAAUACCGGUGGCGAAGGCGCCCGUGGACAAGCUGACGCUCAUGUGCGAAAGCGUGGGGAGCAAACGAGGAUUAGACUACCCGU